CCGAAUAAGUUAAAAUGUAUUACAUGUGACUAAGAAUUCAUAAAAACACAAACAUCUAUAAUGGUAUUGUCGUGACGCUUCCCCUUUAAGAAAUCCGAACGUAGUAGUGCGCGUGACACUGUAGCGUGCAUAAUUUGAACGUUAACGGUCAGGUGAGGAAGCUGAGACAUCGAGUGAUUAACGUUGUUAAACUUGUUAAAAAUGUAUUGAAAGACUCUAAAAAGGAAGAAAUAAUGAUACUUAUCUGAGCUGCAUCCCAAACGAACCAUUUUGGGCGAAGUAAUUAUAUCUGUUGCUGAGUUGUUGAUCUAGUUACUGUAUCUGCUGUUUGCCAUUAACUUUAGAUAGCAAAAGCUAAUUUAACAACUGAUAUUAAUGAAAUAAUAAUGUAUGCCAUUUAUAAUAAAAUGUAAUUGUAUAAAACACUGAAGUAGCGAGUACAAAAUGCCUGUUCUGCCAACAUUUUGAGCGUUUUGAAUUGUGCUUUACGGUUUUGUGUACGCUUUAUUUGUAUUGAUGGAUUAAUAUGUUCUGUUGUGCAGGUUAGGUUCUAUGUUCCAGUUAAAAAAGUUUGACAUGAUACAGUUCUCCCGUGAUAUUUGUGUGUACAUGAAGACACGCAUGACAAGAGAAUAGAUGGCGUCUUCCGUUAUUACUGUCAAUCGAAGCAAUGAGUCCAGAAAAAUUUAGCAGAUUUACCGGCGUAAUAUUUAACACUCGUGUUUGUCAUUUCUGAAAUGGUAAAUGUGGAUGUUUGGUCCUUUUAGAUUAACAAAGAUUUUCUUCAAAUUGUGAAUAGAUUUUGUAGAGAAGCUGAGAAAAGUGCUCUCCCCUUAAAGCACAGUACGACUCGAAAUGACUGAGCUGGCUUAUCUAAAACCAGGAAGUAAUCGUGCAUAUGUUCAUUUGACAGAGCAUUAGUGAUUGCUUUGGAAUAUAUUUGAUACAAUAUUUUUCAGUUUUUUUUUCUCUGUUUUUACAUUACACACAAAUAGUACUGUAUUAAAUGAAAUGAACAGUUUAAGUUCCCUUUGAGGUGUAUUAUACUGAGUGACAAUAUCAUAUUCUACAUAUUGUUUGAUGUUUUAUUGUUCUGUGUUGUGAUGUGAUUGUAUUUGCUAUUAUUAUUAUUAUUAUUAUUAUUGUUACAGUAAAGUGUUAUUUUUAUAUUCAACUUCUGGUCUCCUGUAUACAUUUUAUAUGUUCCUCCUCACUCUAGAUAUGUUCCUUCCUUUUUGGGUCUAGAACUGGUUUAGUGUAUAUUUACAUUGGAAGCACAAGUGCUACAUAUUGUGUGUGUGUGUGUGAUCAAUCCAUUAUCAGUCCCUUAGAAAUUUUUGCACUAAUGCUGUAU
rnacentral:lncRNA from 1 species